ensembl:lncRNA
CAUCCCAGUUUCUCCAGGACUAGUUUGGUUUUACCACUGAAAAUCCUAUGGCUUGGGAAUUUCCUCAAUCACAGGAAAACUUGAAUAAUUGGCUAACCUAAGUAUAGUUUCUGUUUGUAUUUCAGGUAAUAGAAAUUGACUGUAAAACUCAGAGAUCCCGUUGGUUAAACAGUAAGUUGUAGACUGGCCCACUGGUCCUGUGAACUUAAAUUAUCACUUUGUUCUCUAAGAGAGAGACAUGGGUCAACAUACAUGGGCCUUUGCAUUCUCCACCCAGUAUUUUAAUUUGAUUUUUUAAAAAUAAGUAUGUAAAUAGUGCACAAUGGUGUACAUAGUCGUGUAAAUAGUGUACAAUGAGUAUGUAAAUAUUGGUACAAAAGAGAAUUACAUGUUACCUAGCCUCUUAUGAGCCACUCUUCAAAUUCAUAACACUUAAAAAAAAGUCAUAACACUGAGAAAUAGAGUUAUUAAAGUUCUAAGGAACUUAAAGCUUUAUAGUAGGGAGGUUUGAUAGAAAAAAUGUAAUAUGUCAGAGAAAAAUCAAUAGUGCACUCAGAGAUGUUGUGAAGAAUAAUGGACCCUAGGAGCCAGGCAGGGUGAUGCACGACUGCAGUCCCAGUACUAUGCAAGGCUGAGGCAGAAGUGUCACAAGAUCAAGUCCAGCCUGGCAACUAAGAAACUUAAAGAGACCUUGUCUCAAAAUUUUAAAAGGACUGGGAAUAGAGCUCAGUACAAAAGCCUUGGGUUCAAUUCCCAGUACUGCCCCAAGAAAAGAAAAGAAAGAAGACGCUGGGGCAAAGAAGAUGUAUAUAAUAGCACACUGCAGAGGCCUCUGGCUUGGAGGGGGCAUACGAGCUAGACAGUUGCUUCAAAGCUCUGUGGUCAUGGCCUGUGAAGUGGAUGGAAUCCCCAGUUUCUAGAAGCUCUAUAAAAAGAACUGUCCUCUCUUCUCACUCUCUUCUACCCACUAGGCGGAAUGUCAGGGACCCAGGCCUGUGUCUCCAUCAUGUCACCCUUAGAGUAGGAUUGCUAGAGAAAGUACAGGAUGCCCAGAUGAAUUUCAAGUCAGACACAGGAUGAAUCAUCCUUUAGUACUGGUGAGCCCCCGCUCAGCUGCACCUCACCAGGGGCACAGCUGCACUGGAAAGUGAUGUGUUUGUGUGAAAUUCACAUUUAACUGGGUGUCCUCUUUUUCUCUGUAAGUCUCACAACCUCCUGGUCACAAAGCAGAGGAUUCUUUAGCAGAAAGAACAAGGCCGCCAGUGUGGGAGUCUGACUUCCACAGUACCCCCUUUAUUUCUAGGAUUGGGGGGACCCUCCCACAUCACAACUGGCUCCUGAAGGGAGGUGUACAAGUCAGCACAUCCCACCCACACAGCAAACCUUCCAUUGCCUCAUUCUUAAAUAGGAGUGGAGAAACACACAUUUGAUGAAAGUUUGCGUUAAAGAGAAAUAGAAAAAGUGAUACUGGAGAAAGUAUAAAGUAGCUAAUGCAGGGAAGAGAAUAUAAUUUUUCUUCCUUUUAAUUUGUAGUCCUGGGGAUUGAACCCAGGGCCUUGUACAUGCUAGGCAAGCGCUGUGACACCAAGGUGCAUGGCCAGCCCCGGAAGAGAGCUAAGAAUGAACAUGAAAGGCCAGGCAGUUCAAGCCCAGCCUGGGAAACUUACCGACUAGAGAGACCUUGUCUCAAAACAAAAAAUAAAAAGACUGGGGGCAUAGCUUGAGUAUGAAGCUCCUGGGAUCAGUCCCCAGUGCUAGAAAAAAGUAAUAAGAAAAUUUUAAAAAUAAAAUAAAAUAAUACAGAUAAAGAAACUGGGGAUAUACUCAGCUUAAAUGAGACCAGUGUUCCUCAGCACUACAAUAGAUGAUAGGUAGGUAGGUAUGUAGAUAGACAGGUACAAUACAAAACACAGAGAAAUUGAAAUGACAUGGGCUGAAUUGUGACACCCCUCCCCACUCAUAUGUUGAAUUCCUAAGCCCUACCCCAGAAUGCAAUAGUACUUGGAGAAAAUGUCUUUAAAGGAUAAUUAAAUUCAAAAAGGUCAUCAGGAUGAGCACUUAUCCAAUUUUUCUGGUGUCUUUAUAAGAAGAGAUUGUAUGGAGAGAAGAUGGAUGAUGUGAAUACACAGGAACACAGUGGCUCUCUGCGAAGCAAGGAGAGCUAACCCUGCCAAUGACUUUGAAUUCCCUGAGAAUUGUGGGAGAUAAUGUUUCUCUGGUGUGAGCCAUCCACCUGUGGAACAUGGCUAUGGAAGCCAUAGAUGACUGUUGCACAUUAUGUUCCUAAAACAUGGUCAGGAUGCUAUGGGAAAGGACAAGCCAGAGAACAAACCUCAUUCUUGGAACUUAAAAAUCCAACUGCCUAAAAAAUAUGCAAAAUCAGGCUGGGGGAAUAGCUCAGUGAUAGACCAGUUUACCCAGCAUGCACAAGGUCCAGAUUCCAUCCCCAGUACCUCACACACAGUCUUGGACAGAAAGAGAAAAUCUUGUGAAAUACUGGACAAAAAGACAUUAAAUUAAAAAAUAGGAAAGUGAAGGCAUAAUUUCUCCAAGUCCAAACCAAGUAAAGAAUAUUUCAGAAAGAAAUAACAGCAAAAUAAUAGAAAAAGCUAAGUGGAGAAACAAGCUGUCUUCAAAUUGAAAAAGUUUGUUGAUUGCAGAGCAGUAUGAAUGAAGAAAACGGAAAAGUAAAAACCUACAUACAUUACUGGGGAGGUAUAAUGAGAAACUAAAAACUUAAAGACAUAAAGUUCUCUCUCCAUCAAAGGAAUGCGAGCCAGACAAGCUUCAUUUUUAUCAGCAGCAAACCUGUCAAAAUUCAGAGAAAAUGUUUCAACCUAGCUAUCAACUAGGUUGAAGGCUGACCACAAACAUUUCAAAUAUGCAAAAAUUUGGACAUUUACUCUAAUUGCACCCUUUCUUAGAAAGUUAUUUGAAUACAUUCUUCAGAAAAAUGGAGAAGUAAAAAUCCAUGGUCCAAUCAAGAAGAGCAAUGAAGGUAAAGGAAAGGCAGAAUGUCAUUUAUUUGAAAGGCUUAAGAGAGAAACUCAUGGGCUGGGCCGUAGCUCAAUGGUGAGCACUUGGCUACCAUGCUUGAGGCUCUGGGUUCCAUCACCAGCACUGAAAGAAAACAAAAGAAAUUUCUUCAUUUAUUCACCAAGUAUUUUUAUUGUGCAUGUUAAGUGCUACUACAUGUUAAGUGCUCUUCUAGGAGCUGAGAUACAAGCAAGAUGUGAAUCAGCUAGUUGUGUAUAGCGAUAAAUACCAUAUGGAAAAUAAGGCAGGGAAAGGAAAGAUGUGCUAGUUUAGGCAGUAGACAGGAAACCUCUGAGGGCUGCCACUUGAGCUGAGGCCUGAAUAGAAGGAGGAACUAACACCUCUGGAGCAAUUCAUCUUGGGGAGAACCGACAGCAACCCCACAGCCAGUGGUAUUGUGUUCAAAGAGUGGGGAAAAAAGCAGCAAUGGCAGGAGCAGUGGGAGUGAAACAGUGGAAGCCAGUGAUGGCAGAGAUAGGCAGGCCCCCUCUCCGUGUGAGCCAUAAUGAGACAGGAUGGAGUGAGCAGGACAACAGCGGAAUAUGGAAAAGGGGGAACUUUGUAGCAAGACAAAAUGGUGUCACACAAUAAGAACCAAACCAAAGGACAAAAGAAAAAAUGGAAGGCUGUUUGAAACCAUAGGGAAAAAAAGUUGUACAAGAGGAUAAAUGUAUACUACUUGCCUGUCCAUUAGAAAACAUUUAAAUACAAUAAUAGAAAUAAUUUUAUUGAUUUUCAAUCUUUAUGAUCAAACUAUAAUAAAAGACAGAUUUCAUCAUGAUUGCUCAAGGAGAGGAAUAAGCACUAGCAGAAUAGGAAUUUUGGAGGUUUCUAUAAUAGACCACAAAGGAGUUUACUUAAAAUUUCAGGUGUAAGCAACAGAAGAAUAAAAAUAUUUAGGGGCCAGGAAUUUAGCUCAGUGGUUCUGCCACCUGCCUCGCAGGUGCAAGAUCCUGAGUUCAAUCUCUGGUAUCAAAAAAAAAUUUUUUUUAGUUAAAUAUAUUGGCAAGAGGAAAGGAGAGUAUAGUGAUAGAAGGAAAAUUAAAUUCACAACAAUCAUAGGAAGGCAAUAGAUAAGGCCUAAUGUUGCUCUGUCCAUCAGAAAGAUUGGUAUACACAUUUGUUCUGCCACCAGUCCAGGCUGAGAAGGUUCACUUGAGAUUCAGGCAGCCCUGAGAGUUCAGAUUCAGUAGAGCUGUGGGAAUGUCUGACAUGUCUUUACCACCUCAGCAACACAGGGGGCAACACUACAACGUGCCACUCCUUGUGGAAAAUAUCACACAAAGCCGGAAAAUUGCCAAAAAGUAAUAUAACAUACACUACUUGUUCACAUAUUUACUGAGCAUGUGCAGGCUGCAUAACAUAUGCUGAUUCACUAGCAAACAGAAGGCCUUGAGGAAAAUCCUGGGCUACCCUGAGCACACAGCAUAUAUAUUUUAGAGGCAUGUAGAUAACGAGUUAGAAGUUCUGAACUCAACAAAGAGAAAAGAGAUGUAAAGACAGAGACAAAGGAUUUUUAAUUGCUCUAAGCCCUAGCUCUAAUUUCUUAAAAAUAACACAUUUAUCAGUUUUACUUUUAAAACAUUUAGUUUAACAUAAAUAAUUAAAUAAAUCUAGAACUCCCAAAUCUGCUUCUAUUUGUCUAAAUUAUCAAAAUUUUCUUUUAUGAUCCAUCAUGUGAAAUAAAUUCAUCUACUCCUAAGGAUCCAUCGGAGCAAGGCGUAGUGGUGCAUGCCUGCAAUCCCAGCACUUGAGAGAGAGGCUGUGGCAGGAGGAUCACUGUGAGUUUGAGGUCAGCCUGGGCUACAUAGUGAGUUCAAGGCCAGCCUGGACUAUAAAGUGAGACCCUGUCUUAAAAAAAGACCCAUCGGGAGGUAUCUGACAUGAUUCCAUAGGGUGGAAUUGGAGGACUGGGCUAGCAGAACUGCACAGUACCUUGCAAAUGACUCCUAAAUUUGAGAACUGUCUGAAUCCUAGCAUUACCGUUCAUUAGCUGUGUGACAUCAGGAAGCUACUAAACUCUCUCUUCUUUAGUUUCCUUACCCGUGAAAUGGGGAUAAUAAAUGUACCUGUCUUAUAGCAAUAAGGAAUAAUUAAGUUAAUACUUGUAAUAAGAUAGAACAAUGUGUCCACAGGAUUGACCUUAAAUCCUUAAAACCGUAAAGUAUGAUACAAUUUGAGCGGAACAAAAAAGUGUUCCGCUCAAAUGCUUUUCUCUGCUGGUAUAGAAUUCCCUCACUAGAGAUUUUGUUGAAGGCUUUAUGAUCUGUGCAAAGCAGGCAUUCUCUUGACAGGAAUGACCAAACUUGUAGGAAGUAAUCAAGUCCUUUCCGAACUCAUCCAUGUCUGAACAGAAGGGUAGCUGAUAGAAGGGAGGGGGCUGAUCUGCAGGGAGAGCAGAAGCAUCUAAAAGGAGAUGAGGGAAAGGAGGACUUGAGGGCCAGGGAUUUAGCUCGAAAGUGUAAGGUUCUGAGUUCAAUUCCCAGUACCAAAGGAAAAAAAAAAAAAGGAGGACUUGAAAACAGACAAACAAGCUCACGGUUUGGCCAAGAACCAGACUUGAACAGACAGAGUUUGGCUCCCAUUCCCUGGGCCAGUGCCAUUUCUGUCUCACACAUUUAACUAAGAUAGGCCAGGGAUCAUGUGCCAGGUUGGCCACAGGCUUGAGUUGUUCAUUUCCAGACUAAAAACUGUUGUUUCUGGGCUGCCCUGGAGUCAAACCCCAGGGACCCCUUUGUUCACAUUAAUUUUUCUCCAACCCCACUGGCCACUGUAGUAGACUUGAAUCCCAGAGCAGGGUCCCCAGGCCAUCUAACCCCAAGGGCUUAGGAGGGGCUGUUUGUUCUAGCAGGAAACAGCUCAUAGCAACCCAACCCACUUUGGAGAGCAGUUACCUCCAGAGACCUUUCAGCCUCUCAGGACAACACCUCGCCCACUAUGCUUCUCUUGUUUCCACACGAAUAGUGUCUGAGUUUGAGUGGAAAGAACAUGGGUACAAAUUAGGAUUUGCCCUGCUUCAAGAUGAGACGUUUUGAUCCAACUCUGCUUUGGGAAUUGAAAGCUGAAGCGUGGCCUUUAUUAGAAACUUUUUCAGGCUUUUAAGUUCACUUUGAGAAGGACAUUCAUAGCACAGGUGGAAACGAGGCUGGAUUUUAAAAGUUACCACCUACAAUUUGCAUUUAACAUAUAGGAACCACAAUAUGUUAUAGGUAGGAAAGUGGCUCAGUGGAGUGCUUGCCUAGCAUGUGCCCAGUUACCAGAUGCCAUAAGGUGAAUUGAAUUAUUGGUCUGGAAGUCAGCACAACGAGUUUAAUCUCAGUUACUCAGUAUACAAUGUGAGGUUACUCGUGUUACUUCAUCAAACCUUACCUUUCUCAAAGAAAAAUGGGGCAUUAGAUCAUAAGACAAGUCUCUUCUGGCUUAAAAUGCUAAGACAUAUAUAUAAAUAAAUAGCCUUUUCUCAGUGCUGGCAAUCAAACCUGGGGCCUCAGCACACCAGCCCUGUGAUCUACCACUGAGCUACAUUCCAGCCCCUUGCUCAUUUUCUGACUGUUGAGUUCUGAGAGCUUUUUAUCUAUUUGGAUGACAGCCCUUCAUCAAAUAUGGUUUUCACAAAAAUUCUCCUCAUCUGUGGCUUGUCUUUUGUUCUCUUGAGAGCAUAAGUUUUAACCUUAACAGAGUCUUGGUUACCAGUGAUUCCUUACAGAUCAUGACUCACAGUGUUGUAUUUGAGAAGUCACUGCCACACCAAGAUUAUCUGGAUUUUCUCCUGAUUUUUUUUUUUUUUUUUUUUUUGAGACAGGAUCUCACUAUGUAGUUCAGGCCAGGCUUGAACUUACUGAUCCCAGGCUGACCUCAAACUCAUGGUCAUCCUCCUGCCUCAGCCUCCAGAGUGCUGGGAUCCUGAUGUUAUCUUCUACAAGUGUUAUGCUUUUAUAUGUUACAUGAGGCAACUUGAUGCCAGGAGAAGAUGGAUUGGCAGGGGCUCUCUAAUGAAGAUGAUGUUUGCAGUAGAAGC